rnacentral:lncRNA from 1 species
CACAUGUCCAUCCCUCAGCCAAUCACAGUGGCUGGUGGAAUAAAUGCCCUGAUUGGCUUAGGCUUGGGGAAGUCACACGGUCUUGCCUGAGGAGUUCUGGAGCCUUUUCCAAAAGACAAGUCUAAGAGCAGGAAGGGCCCCCUCAGCAGAGAUGCACUGGCGUGGGCUCACCAGGGAGAGGGAAGAGACAACGCUUGGCACAGCCCACAGCACGGCUGCUCAUAAACACUCACAGCCCCUCCGUGUCAGAGGACCUUCCCCACCACUGACAUCAGGCUGGGCCAUGCGACUGCCUUUGUCCAUAAAACUGGAGAGGAAGUGAGGGGCGUGGCUUCUGGGCAGCAGCUUUAGUGCUUCAUGAGUUAUUCGUCACGUUCUCUCUCCCUCCCUCUGAGCAGCAGGAAGUGCAGAUGGCGAGGACGAGACGCCCAGCCAAGGGACAAUGGACGAAGAGCGUGAGCGGGGGCGAGCCUUUCCCUUCGUGAGGGACGGCCGGUGUCAUCGUUGGAGCUUCCUAAGAGUCCCAGAGGCUGAUGCACCUCCCAGACUCUCCUCGGCCCGGCUCCCUGGGCCCUGCUCCAGGGGCUUCAUUGCUCCCUGCCCCGGGUCACCCCUCGGCUCACCGUCUCUCAGGUGUGGAAUAUCCUGCUCCAAUCAAAGCCAUGUCACCUGCGUUGUCCAGUGAAACAUCAGUGGACAGGCGCUGCCCGGGCUCCAGGGAGCUCCUCACUGAGGCUCACUCCCUGUGCCUCUGCCAUCAGCACAGGGGGACAUGCCUGGCUGCCUGUGGGACCAGGGAGGACGCGCGGUGCGGGAGCAGAGCCAGCCACACUGCCGCUGCUGCACUGUUCAUCUGAGUGGCGCAAGAUUCAGUGCCUGCGUCAUAGAAGGGUCCGUGUCAGUAAGGAAGUGAAAAGCAAGAUGGAAUACUGGAACUCUCCUGGCAGAUUGUCUGAAGUCAAUGUGUUUUCUGGUUAUGUGUUUCAGCUGCGAGUUUUUCAAAUUGUUGCAAAUCUUCAAACAUUUUUCCAACAAAUUUACUGAAAAAAAUCCACAUAUAAGUGGCACCCCCACCAGUUUAAACCUGUGUUGUUCAAGAGUCAGCUAUUUUUAUGAGGUGUUUUCAAAAGUUUAUGGAAAAUGAAUCUUAUGAAUAAAACUAUGCAUGGAUUUCAAAUCUUUUGCACCAAAAUAAACUCAUACUAACUUGUUAUAAAAUGUCUGAGUUUUAUACAGUUUAGUUUGAGACACUAAGAAAGAUAAGACAUCAGUUUGGAAAGGGUCAUCAGAGCAACGUGAAUUAUGCAAAACUGAAGCAAAAACAAACACCAAAUUUAUGGUGAAGGUUAGGUAGAGGAAUGGUGAAGUCAUUGAUGCUUUCUAAACAGUUUAGGUGGAUAAUGCCCCACAGAAAGCAGCCAUUUACAAAUGGUUACGCCAUUUUAAGAAGGAACAGGAUGAUGUUGAACAUGAAGCCUGCAGCAGCAGACCACAUCAAUUUGAGAGGAAAAAAUUAAUCUUGCUUAUGCCCUAGUUGAAGAGGACUGGUGCUUAGCAGCACAAACAAUAGCCAACACCAUAGACACCUCAAUUGGUUCAGCUUUCCCAAUCCUGGCCAAAAAAUUAAAGUUGAGCAAAUUUUCUACGUAAUGAGUGCCCAAACUUGCACCCAGAUCAGUUGCCAACCAGGGCAGAGCUUUCAAUGGAAAUUUUAAGCAAGAGGGGGAUGAAGAUCUUGAAGCAUUGCUUUGAAGAAUUGUAACAGGAGAUGAAACAUGGCUUUGCUAGUACCAUUCUGGAGACACAAUCAAAGCAAUGGCUACCAAGAGGUGGAAGUGCUGCAGUCACAGCAAACGUGGCCACCCAAGAGCAAAGGUCAUGGCAACAAUUUUGGGGAAUGUUCAAGGCAUUUUGUCUGUUGACUUUCUGGAGGGCCAAAGAACAAUAACAGCUGCUUAUUAUGAGAGUGUUUUGAGAAAGUUAGCCAAAGCUUUAGCAGAAAGUUGCCUAGGA